rnacentral:rRNA from 1 species
AAUUUUCCGCAAUGGGCGAAAGCCUGACGGAGCAAUACCGCGUGGGGGAGGAAGGCUCUUGGGUCGUAAACCUCUUUUCUCAGGGAAGAAUUCCAUGACGGUACCUGAGGAAUCAGCAUCGGCUAACUCCGUGCCAGCAGCCGCGGUAAUACGGAGGAUGCAAGCGUUAUCCGGAAUGAUUGGGCGUAAAGCGUCCGCAGGUGGCAGUGUAAGUCUGCUGUCAAAGGUCAGGGCUUAACCCUGAACAGGCAGUGGAAACUACACAGCUAGAGUGCGGUGGGGGCAGAGGGAAUUCCCAGUGUAGCGGUGAAAUGCGUAGAGAUUGGGAAGAACACCGGUGGCGAAAGCGCUCUGCUAGGCCGCAACUGACACUCAUGGACGAAAGCUAGGGGAGCGAAUGGGAUUAGAUACCCCAGUAGUCCUAGCCGUA